rnacentral:rRNA from 1 species
AGAGUUUGAUCCUGGCUCAGGAUGAACGCUGGCGGCGUGCCUAACACAUGCAAGUCGAGCGAGAAAUUCUUUAAUGAAUCUUCGGACGAUUUAAAGAAUGGAAAGCGGCGGACGGGUGAGUAACGCGUAGGCAACCUGCCCCAUACAGAGGGAUAGCAUUUGGAAACGAAUAUUAAUACCUCAUAAUGCCGAGUAGCCACAUGGCAACAUGGCCAAAGAUUUAUCGGUAUGGGAUGGGCCUGCGUCUGAUUAGCUAGUUGGUGAGGUAACGGCUCACCAAGGCGACGAUCAGUAGCCGACCUGAGAGGGUGAUCGGCCACAUUGGAACUGAGACACGGUCCAAACUCCUACGGGAGGCAGCAGUGGGGAAUAUUGCACAAUGGGGGAAACCCUGAUGCAGCAACGCCGCGUGAGCGAUGAAGGCCUUUGGGUCGUAAAGCUCUGUCCUUGGGGAAGAAUUAAUGACGGUACCCUUGGAGGAAGCCCCGGCUAACUCCGUGCCAGCAGCCGCGGUAAUACGGAGGGGGCAAGCGUUAUCCGGAAUUAUUGGGCGUAAAGGGUACGUAGGUGGUUUACCAAGCGCAGGGUUUAAGGCAAUGGCUCAACCAUUGUUCGCCCUGCGAACUGGCAGACUUGAGUGCAGGAGAGGAAAGCGGAAUUCCUAGUGUAGCGGUGAAAUGCGUAGAUAUUAGGAGGAACACCAGUGGCGAAGGCGGCUUUCUGGACUGUAACUGACACUGAGGUACGAAAGCGUGGGGAGCAAGCAGGAUUAGAUACCCUGGUAGUCCACGCCGUAAACGAUGAGCACUAGGUGUCGGGGUCGCAAGACUUCGGUGCCGCAGUUAACGCAUUAAGUGCUCCGCCUGGGGAGUACGCACGCAAGUGUGAAACUCAAAGGAAUUGACGGGGACCCGCACAAGCAGCGGAGCAUGUGGUUUAAUUCGAAGCAACGCGAAGAACCUUACCAGGUCUUGACAUCCUGCUGACCGGUCAGUAACGUGGCCUUUUCUUCGGAACAGCAGAGACAGGUGGUGCAUGGUUGUCGUCAGCUCGUGUCGUGAGAUGUUGGGUUAAGUCCCGCAACGAGCGCAACCCUUAUCUUCAGUAGCCAGCGGAUGAAGCCGGGCACUCUGGAGAGACUGCCGGGGACAACCCGGAGGAAGGUGGGGAUGACGUCAAAUCAUCAUGCCCCUUAUGAUCUGGGCUACACACGUGCUACAAUGGUGGGAACAAAGUGACGCAAAGGAGCGAUCCGGAGCCAACCACAAAAAAUCCAUCCCAGUUCGGAUUGUAGUCUGCAACUCGACUGCAUGAAGCUGGAAUCGCUAGUAAUCGCGAAUCAGAAUGUCGCGGUGAAUACGUUCCCGGGUCUUGUACACACCGCCCGUCA